AACGAACGCUGGCGGCAUGCCUAACACAUGCAAGUCGAACGAGACCUUCGGGUCUAGUGGCGCACGGGUGCGUAACGCGUGGGAACCUGCCCUUAGGUUCGGAAUAACUCCCCGAAAGGGGUGCUAAUACCGGAUAAUGUCUUCGGACCAAAGAUUUAUCGCCUUUGGAUGGGCCCGCGUUGGAUUAGCUAGUUGGUAGGGUAAAAGCCUACCAAGGCGACGAUCCAUAGCUGGUCUGAGAGGAUGAUCAGCCACACUGGGACUGGGACACGGCCCAGACUCCUACGGGAGGCAGCAGUGGGGAAUAUUGGACAAUGGGCGAAAGCCUGAUCCAGCAAUGCCGCGUGAGUGAUGAAGGCCUUAGGGUUGUAAAGCUCUUUUACCCGGGAUGAUAAUGACAGUACCGGGAGAAUAAGCUCUGGCUAACUCCGUG
rnacentral:rRNA from 1 species